UUUUUCGUUUGGUGGUCCUGCCUGAACUGAUGUGUUUAUUUCAAAGAUUAAGCCAUGCAUGUAUAAGUUUAAUCGUUUUAACGAGAAACCGCGAACGGCUCAUUACACUGGCCAUGAUUUACUUGAUCUUGAUUAUCUAAUGGAUAACUAAUAAUCUUUCAAGCGUCCACUUUAUCAACUUGACGGGAGCAUAAUCGACUCCUGGGGUGGUGACGGAUAACGGAGGAUAAGGGUUCCACUCCGGAGAAGUGGCCUGAGAAAUGGUCACUACGAUUAAUGAUGGCAGCAGGCUUUUAAAUUACCUCCUCUCCAUUUGAGGAGGUAGUGACGAGAAAUGAAGAGAUCGGUCUCUUUGAGGACGGUCAUCGGAAUCGGUAAAGUUUAAACACUUUAACGAGUAUCAAGCAGAGGGCAAGUCUGGUGCCAGCAGCCGCGGUAAUUCCAGCUCUGCUAAUACAUCGAAUUAUUGGCGCGGUUAAAAAGCUCGUAGUUGGAUUCGAAUCGGUACCCUGGAAUGCUCCGGGUGUUUCUGGGUGUUAUCGACUAUCUAUCCGCCAAUGGAAAUUUAUAGCCUUGGUGGAGCUUCUCGGAAACGAAAGUCUUUCGAUUCCGUGGGAAGUUGGUUGCGAAGCUGAAACUUAAAGGAAUUGACGGAAGGGCACCACUGGGAGUGGAGCUUGUCGGCUUAAUUUGACUCAACACGGGAAAACUCACCUGGCCCGGACAUUGUUAGGAUUGACAGAUUGAUAGCUUUUUCAUGAUUCAGUGUUUGUGGUGCAUGGUUGCGCUGAAGAAAAUUGAGCAAUAACAGGUCUGUGAUGCCCUUAAAUGUCCGGGGCAACCUGGCCCGGACAUUGUUAGGAUUGACAGAUUGAUAGCUUUUUCAUGAUUCAGUGUUUGUGGUGCAUGGUUGCGCUGAAGAAAAUUGAGCAAUAACAGGUCUGUGAUGCCCUUAAAUGUCCGGGGCAACCUGGCCCGGACAUUGUUAGGAUUGACAGAUUGAUAGCUUUUUCAUGAUUCAGUGUUUGUGGUGCAUGGUUGCGCUGAAGAAAAUUGAGCAAUAACAGGUCUGUGAUGCCCUUAAAUGUCCUGGGCAAUCUGUCAAUCCUAACAUUGUUAGGAUUGACAGAUUGAUAGCUUUUUCAUGAUUCAGUGUUUGUGGUGCAUGGUUACGCUGAAGAAAAUUUAGCAAUAACAGGUCUGUGAUGCCCUUAAAUGUUCGGGGAAAAAUCACCCCCGAAAGGGGUGGUUAAGUUUUUCCGUGAACGAGGAAUUCCAAGUAAAUGCGAGUCAUCAGCUCGCGUUGAUUACGUCCCUGCCCUUUGUACACACCGCCCGUCGCUGCCCGGGACUGAGACAUGUUGAGAAAUUUGGGGACCAUUUAUGUAAUUUCUCUAAAUUACUUUGAUGGAAACCAAUUUAAUCGCAGUGUCUUGAACCGGACAAAAAUCGUAACAAGGUCACUAGUGCAGAUCUUGGUGGUAGUAGCAAAUAU